rnacentral:piRNA from 1 species
UGAGAUGUUGGAAAUCUGGAAGGCCUCGGC